rnacentral:rRNA from 1 species
GAUCAUGGCUCAGGAUGAACGCUAGCUACAGGCUUAACACAUGCAAGUCGAGGGGCAGCAUGACGGAAGCUUGCUUUCGUUGAUGGCGACCGGCGCACGGGUGAGUAACGCGUGUCCAACCUGCCCUUGUCCAUCGGAUAACCCGUCGAAAGGCGGACUAACACGAUAUGCAGUUCUCAGCAGGCAUCUAACGAGAACGAAAUGUGAGGGAGAAGGAUGGGGAUGCG